rnacentral:rRNA from 1 species
AUUGAACGCUGGCGGCAUGCCUUACACAUGCAAGUCGAACGGCAGCACGGGUGCUUGCACCUGGUGGCGAGUGGCGAACGGGUGAGUAAUACAUCGGAACAUGUCCUGUAGUGGGGGAUAGCCCGGCGAAAGCCGGAUUAAUACCGCAUACGAUCUACGGAUGAAAGCGGGGGCCCUUCGGGCCUCGCGCUAUCGGGUUGGCCGAUGGCUGAUUAGCUAGUUGGUGGGGUAAAGGCCUACCAAGGCGACGAUCAGUAGCUGGUCUGAGAGGACGACCAGCCACACUGGGACUGAGACACGGCCCAGACUCCUACGGGAGGCAGCAGUGGGGAAUUUUGGACAAUGGGCGGAAGCCUGAUCCAGCAAUGCCGCGUGUGUGAAGAAGGCCUUCGGGUUGUAAAGCACUUUUGUCCGGAAAGAAAUCCUUGGCCCUAAUACGGUCGGGGGAUGACGGUACCGGAAGAAUAAGCACCGGCUAACUACGUG